rnacentral:rRNA from 1 species
GCGUGAGUGAUGAAGGUUUUCGGAUCGUAAAACUCUGUUGUUAGGGAAGAACAAGUACCGUUCGAAUAGGGCGGUACCUUGACGGUACCUAACCAGAAAGCCACGGCUAACUACGUGCCAGCAGCCGCGGUAAUACGUAGGUGGCAAGCGUUGUCCGGAAUUAUUGGGCGUAAAGCGCGCGCAGGCGGUCUUUUAAGUCUGAUGUGAAAGCCCCCGGCUCAACCGGGGAGGGUCAUUGGAAACUGGGAGACUUGAGUGCAGAAGAGGAGAGUGGAAUUCCACGUGUAGCGGUGAAAUGCGUAGAGAUGUGGAGGAACACCAGUGGCGAAGGCGACUCUCUGGUCUGUAACUGACGCUGAGGCGCGAAAGCGUGGGGAGCGAACAGGAUUAGAUACCCUGGUAGUCCACGCCGUAAACGAUGAGUGCUAAGUGUUAGAGGGUUUCCGCCCUUUAGUGCUGCAGCAAACGCAUUANGCACUCCGCCUGGGGAGUACGGCCNCAAGGCUGAAACUCAAAGGAAUUGACGGGGGCCCCCCACAAGCGGUGGAGCAUGUGGUUUANUUCGAAGCACCGCGAAGAACCUUACCAGGUCUUGAAAUCCUCUGACAAUC